rnacentral:lncRNA from 1 species
AUGACAGAUCAGGUCUUUGUGACACUGACCACAAAUGAUGCCUACACCAAAGGUGCCCUGGUCCUGGGCUCAUCUCUGAAACAGCACAGGACCACCAGAAGACUAGUCAUGCUCGCCACCCCGCAGGUCUCAGACUCCAUGAGAAAAGUUUUAGAGACAGUCUUUGAUGAAAUCAUCGUGGUAGAUGUCUUGGACAGUGGUGAUUCUGCUCAUCUAACCUUAAUGAAGAGGCCAGAGUUGGGUGUCAGGCUGACAAAGCUCCACUGCUGGUCACUUACAUAGUAUUCAAAAUGUGUAUUCAUGGGUGCAGAUACUCUGGUCCUAGCAAAUAUUGAUGAUCUUUUUGAGACAGAAGAAUUGUCAGCAGCACCUGACCCAGGGUGGCCUGACUGCUUCAAUUCUGAAUUUAUCAGCCUUCAGUUGAAACAUAUAAUCAGCUGUUGCAUCUUGCUUCUGAGCAAGGUAGUUUUGAUGGUGGAGAACAAGGCAUACGGAACACAUUUUUUCGCAGCUGGGCAACAACAGAUAUCAGAAAACACCUGCCAUUUAUUUAUAGCCUAAGCUGCAUCUCUAUAUAGUCCUACCUCCCAGCAUUUAAAGUGUUUGGUGCAAGUGCCAAAGUUGUGCAUUUCCUGGGACAAGUCAAACCAUGGAAUUAUACUUAUGAUCCCAAAACAAAAAGUGUCAAAAAUGAGUCCCACCAUCCCAACGUGACUCAUCCAGAGUUUCUCAUCCUAUGGUGGAACAUCUUUACCACCACCGUUUUACCUCUGCUUCAACAAUUUGGCCUUGUCAAAGACACCUUCUCAUACGUAAAUGUGGAAAAUGUCUCAGGAGCCAUAUCACAUCUGUCCCUUGGGGGGAUCCCAGCUAUGGCACAGUCUGUGUAUCCUCAGAAGAAUGGAAGGAGCGGUGGGAACAGGGCUAGACCGAUUAUAUGGGAGCAGAUUCCUUUGACAACAUCAAGAGGAAGCUUGACACUUACCUCCAGUAG